UUUAAAAUCAUUGGCCAAUAACAACUUGUAUUUAGUUUCAAAAUAUAUCAGAUGACGAGCAGACUGUGAUGCUGUUUGUUAUCAAGUGGUAGCAAAAGUGAGGGAGCAGCUUGCACGUGUUGAUACAUUAUUUACAUUGUUGGAAUGUUUGCUGACGUCAUAAACAAAACUCUUGCAACACAGACGUGAAGAAACAGAAUGGAACAGAGAACAGUCUGCAACCAACAAUUUGAAAGAGAACAUAAUUUUAUAAGAUGGAGAAUAACUUUACAGUUAAUGCAAAUACCAUCGAACUCGUCGAAACCCUGGAUUCAGAUGCUAAAACUGGAAUCGUAAUGCUGACUUUUGCUGUACUGGGGCUUCUAUGUAUCAUAUGUAGUGUGAUAAUAGAAAUUUAUAUUCGAUAUGAUACUACUCGUGAAUCACCAGAUAAUAUGACAUUGAUUACGAAAAGUGCAGUUUCCAACACAGAAACCAACAACAAUUCCACCACUCACAGUACAUCACCACCAAUUUCCCCACGAGAUGGAUUAUACAAGUCACUCUACGUAAUGGAGAUGAUUGGUUUAACUGUGCAGUUUAUAUUGCAUAUAUAUAUCGGGAUAGACCUAAUAACUCGUGAGCGGAAUAAGACUGAUGUUGAAUAACCACAUAAUUCGACACUGAGUACGAUAAGUGCAAUUAAUUCCACCACUAACAGUACAUCACCGACACUUGUCACAUGAGUACAAGAAGAAUUACCCUCGCCAACGCACAUACCAGCAGAAAGAAAUUUCAUCCACGAAGAAGACAACGCAGAUAUCUCUUCCUGUUAUGACGGACCUAUAAUUGACAUCAAGGAAGACUUACUCUCAGAGAAUAAUGGCCACAUGUUGCGACACGCAGUAAAAUGAGUCCUAAAUCGUACUCAGAUUCGAUCUACGGGGGCCCCGUCCAUCCUAGGGACAUUGGCGGCAUGUUGAGCCUAGGAGGCCUCCAACUCUGUAGUCGUACUUUUAGAAGAUCUUCUCUGAUAGUGAUGUUCACAUCUGAAUGUCGUCAGAUAACAAUGCUACAAUAUCUCAAGCUGAUUUGUCGUCGGCUGCACGUGGCCAUCAUGUAAUCGAGUAGGGUCCAUUCCUCAUCAGAAAAAUGACGUCUCUAGUGUCAGCUGUGCACGGGAGAUCUCAUACACCUCGUGUCGGGAGUGGCGGAUGUCCUAGAGGAAUGGACUGAAGACCACUCCAACCCACGAGCACGUGAAUUACACCCGGUAUGAGCAAGAUGAGAUUUCUCGUGCACUUGUGGGAAAAGACCUGCGCUUGUCUGGUGAUUGUCGGCAGAGGUCUGGUGGGCCUUUCGUUAUCGCGUAAUGUUCGCUGCAGCCGACGACAAUUUUCGGCGUUGGCAAACAUAUACAGCUGGACCCCCUGACUGAUAGCAACAAGACGAUGGUCGCGUUUGAUGUGAUGAAUGCGCUCAUUAUCUGGGGUGGAUUAACAGGGUUCUGUCUGGUUUAGACGAAAAUUACAAAUUUAUUUGGAAAAUCUGCCAUAAAAUGCAAUGUUUAAUGGAAAGGAAUAAUGCAACAAUGGCAUUGUAUGAACUAUUAACUCAUUUGUAGCUGAAACUUAAAAUUAUAAAACAGAGCAUUAUUACUUAUCCGUCUGAAUCAUUUCCAAAAAUAUGUAAUAUGUAUUUUGUGAAAUUUUAUAUAAAACUUUUUCUAUUAUUAGUAUAUCUAAAUUUAAUAAUGUAUGUUCGUAAAUAAAAUAAAAUUCUGGUUAAAUUGUGUGUUUUUCUUUAAUUUUCGCAGAUUAGUCAUACAUUUAAGUACCCAGAACAAUGUUUUCUUCAACAAAAGUCAACUCUAUUUAUAGACUACAAAUUUAAUAAGAAAUUCAAUUCGCCUUUUAUUCAGAACUAGGGCAGAACGCUCCUUUCGACUCGGCAUUGUUGUGUUCCACAACAAUGCCGAGUUUGUUUAUAGUUGACAUUGUUGAUGACGUAAUUUAUUGACGUAAUUCAUUGUUGAAGUCUCUUAGUCUCCUACAUUGUUACGCAUUGUUACAAACUGUUUGCUGGCGUUACCUAAGAAACACCUACAGUUGAUCUGAACACAGCUCGAGGGGAUGUCUGAACUAGAUAUGAACUUGGCAUUUAACUUCAAAGUUAAUGCGAAUAGCACCGAACUCCACAACACCAUCCUGCUAUCUACAGGAACUGGAACGGUGAUUCUGCUGAUGUUGACAUAUAUAAUUUGGAUAUUUAUCGAGAUACUGCGUUCAAAUUCAAAUGCACCUUCCAACACAGGAAUCAAGCAGAAUUCCAUCACAGAGAGUACAUCAUCAAUAUAUUUCAUACGAGCACAAGAACCACUAGCGCAAUACCACGUAUCGGAUGAAACAAAUAAAAUCCACGCAGAAGAAACAGCAACAUCGCCUCCUGUGAUUACGCACAUUUAAUUGACAUCCAGCAAGAAUGUUACUCUCAGAGUAUAAUGGCCACAUGUUGGGACACGCAGUAAAAUAGGUCCUAAAUCGUACUCAAGUUCGAUCUACGUGGGACCAGUUCGUCAUGGGGAACAUCGGCGGCACGUUGAGCCUAGGAGGCCUCGGACUCCGAAGUCGUACUUUUAGAUGAUCUUCUCUGAUAGUGAUGUUCACAUCCAAAUGUUGUCAGAUGAGGAAGCCCUAUGCAGCCUUUAGAAUUUUUCACGCUGCUUUAUCGCCGGCUGCAAGUGGCCGU